ensembl:lncRNA
GUUUCCAAAAUUAUUGAAAAUCUACUACUACAUGGGAAACACAGGAGGUAACAUAGGGCUGAAAUUACAAUGUGUCUAGCAAUAACUUUGUAGGGGGGUCCCCCCCCCCCCCCCCCCCCCCCCCACUCUGGGCAGGUGGGACAGUACAUCUCCCGAGCAGAGGAGCUGAAGGUAUUGGUCACCUCCAGCAGCAAGAACCUCCUGCAACAAGGGAACCCAGCCAGAGAGCUUCUUAAAGGUAGUGUGUUUUGGGGACCACCCCCCCUCCCUGGGGUCAGAGCAGGAAGGGGGCACCUGGUGGGGUUUUGGGCUGAAGGGUACCCCACCUCCCCAUGGUGCUCUCUAUUGCAAUGUCCCCUUGCAGAGAUGGCCAAGGACAAGCCUCGGCUCUGCGCUGCGCUGGAAGUGGCUUCUGCUGCCAUCGCUAAGGUGAGCCGUGGAUUUGGGGGUUUCCUCUCCCCUCGAGUGGAAGGGGAAGGAGCAAACCCAGGUGGGGAGGGAGCUGGUGUAUAUCGCAGCUGCAGCCCGGUCUCUUGCAGGAGGAGGAAGGCAAAGAUGACAGUGACACCCUGGAGCUCUACCAGCAGAGCCUGGGGGAGCUGCUGCUCCUCCUGGCCGGUGAGUUGUGGCCGCGGUGGGUGCUGCGGGGCAGGGACAGAUCCUGCGCCCGUGGCUGACCUGAGGGCACAUCCCUCUUCCCUCUGCAGCGGAGCCUGCGGGGAGGCGACGGGAGCUGCUCCACGCGGAGGUGAGUGCCAGCUGUGGGACAGCAGCGUGUCCCCUUUGGCGUGGCUUUGAAGGGACUCUCUCUCUCCACCAGAUCCAGACCCUGAUGGCCCGAGCUGAGUACCUGAAAGAUCAAAUUAAGGUACGGCUGCUUGGCGGGGGGCUCUGGAGCAUGCCAGGGAGGGGGUGUGCGGGAUGGGAAAUGAUCCUCUCCUCUGGCAGAUGCGGGAGGCACAGUCCAUGGGCAAGGAGGCGCUGGCGGAACCCGUCCGGAGCAGCUGUACCUUGCAGUGAGGCCCCGGAGCCGGCUGGCAGGAUGCUGCUCACCGCCCUGGCACGGCUGUGCAGAGAUGCCAUCGGCAGGGUGGAGGAAACACGAGGCUUUUGUCCCUACUGCAUCAGGCUAACCGCCUCAGGGACUCACCCUUGGGCUCCCAUGCCUGGAGCGUCCCACGGGAGGGUCCGCAGGACCAUCUGCCCCUCUCCACAGGCUCUGGCAUCGUCUUUUACCAACAGGCAGAGUCCCCUCCCAGCCCUGCCUCGACCGUCUGCUGCCGCAGCCUUGCCUGACGCGGCAGACAGGUUAUUCCACUCUAAUUCCCUCUGCUGCCUGUGACGGGCUGGGUAUUUUUGUCCUGUCACUGGGCUCUGGCAGAAUAUCACCCCUGCCAGUCGCAUACGUCUCUUGCCUUUUUGCCUGGAUGUUUCUUCCACCUCCCAAAUUCUUCUGGGGCAGCCCAGAGCAUAUGCACAGCCCAGACCCACAAAACCCCGCCGGUAGCUCCAGGCUGUUGGUGGUGGCAGCGGGCAGGGAGGGGUCAGGGACGCUGCCUGCGCCUGCCCUCCGCUGUGCCUUUCUCACCCAGCAACUACCUCUCUGCGCCCACGGCCGCUCGUCCAGCCUCGAGCACCCAAUUGCACUGUCCCAGCCCAGCCAUACCUCCCUCUCGCUGCUGGAGCAUCGGGGUCGAGGCUUUUGCUUCCUAAACCUGCCUGCACUGGAGUCUGGCAGGUACUGACUGUGUUUGUCAUUUGUGUCAUGAGGUGUUGGCAGUGCUCAGCGGGGACUAACUGGUUGUGCAUGCUCCUCCGCGGGUAUCGUUGUUGAGUAAAACAGAUGAGCAGAAAUCAAUCACCUUCGGGGACAGAGUUGCACGGUUGCAAACAGCGAUACCUCCCCAAAGGCAGAGCCUCGGCCUUCUGCCUGCUCUGCUUCUCAGGGCUCUGACAACCUGAAUAUCCAAAUCAUAUUCCCAGGAGCCCCCCCAGCCCUUCAGAAGUCACUGAUCUGGGGUGGUGAGGUCUAUCUGUCCUGCAAAGCAAGAGACUUGUCUCAAAAUCUACUGUAUUUUAAGGGAAUGUAAUUUAUUGUCUUCAAUAAACACUUACUUUGGUUUCUCCA